rnacentral:rRNA from 1 species
CGGACGGGUGAGUAACGCGUGGGUAACCCGCCUCACACAGGGGAGUAACAGUUAGAAAUGACUGCUAAUACCGCAUAACCCGAUAGGAUCGCAUGAUCCAGACGGAAAAGAUUUAUCGGUGUGAGAUGGACCCGCGUCUGAUUAGCUAGUUGGUGAGGUAACGGCCCACCAAGGCGACGAUCAGUAGCCGGCCUGAGAGGGUGAACGGCCACAUUGGGACUGAGACACGGCCCAA